rnacentral:rRNA from 1 species
GGGUCAGUAGGUUGGUCGUGCCACCGGUACGUACUGGUCUCACUGAUUCCUCCUUCCUGAAGAACCGUAAUGCCAUUUAUUUGGUGUUGCGGGGAAACAGGACUGUUACUUUGAAAAAAUUAGAGUGUUUAAAGCAAUCUAACGCUUGAAUACAUUAGCAUGGAAUAAUGAAAUAGGACGAUCGAUCCUAUUUUGUUGGUUUCUAGGAUUGACGUA